AGCUCCAAUAGCGUAUAUUAAAGUUGUUGAGGUUAAAAAGCUCGUAGUUGAACCUUGGGCCUAGCCGGCCGGUCCGCCUCACCGCGUGCACUGGCUCGGUUGGGCCUUUCUUUCUGGAGAACCCCAUGUCCUUCACUGGGUGUGGUGGGGAACCAGGACUUUUACCGUGAACAAAUCAGAUCGCUUAAAGAAGGCCUAUGCUCGAAUGUAUUAGCAUGGAAUAAUGGAAUAGGACGUGUGGUUCUAUUUUGUUGGUUUCUAGGACCGCCGUAAUGAUUAAUAGGGACAGUCGGGGGCAUCAGUAUUCAAUUGUCAGAGGUGAAAUUCUUGGAUUUAUUGAAGACUAACUACUGCGAAAGCAUUUGCCAAGGAUGUUUUCA
rnacentral:rRNA from 1 species